UGCGUAGGCGGGCUAAUCAGUCAGUGGUGAAAUCUUCCGGCUUAACCGGGAAACUGCCAUUGAUACUAUUAGUCUUGAGUUCGGUUGAGGUAGGCGGAAUGUGUAAUGUAGCGGUGAAAUGCUUAGAUAUUACACAGAACACCAAUUGCGUAGGCAGCUUACUAGACCGACACUGACGCUGAGGCACGAAAGCGUGGGGAGCGAACAGGAUUAGAUACCCUGGUAGUCC
rnacentral:rRNA from 1 species